rnacentral:tRNA from 1 species
GGCCUCGUUGCUCAGCUGGUAGAGCGUGCGCUGUGCAAAACAGUAGGUGGCGUCCAUGCGUGGGUCCGAAUCCCAUCGAGGCUA